rnacentral:rRNA from 1 species
UACGAAGGGGGCUAGCGUUGUUCGGAAUUACUGGGCGUAAAGCGCACGUAGGCGGACUUAUAAGUCAGGGGUGAAAUCCCGGGGCUCAACCUCGGAACUGCCUUUGAUACUGUAAGUCUCGAGACCGGAAGAGGUGAGUGGAAUUCCUAGUGUAGAGGUGAAAUUCGUAGAUAUUAGGAAGAACACCAGUGGCGAAGGCGGCUCACUGGUCCGGUUCUGACGCUGAGGUGCGAAAGCGUGGGGAGCAAAC